GUCUAAAAUUAUUUUUGAUGCCAAUUUGACAGAUGGAACCACAGGAAACCAUGUGCUAUGCCGCAUUGGAUCUCAGUCCUAAAAAGACAAGGAAACUAAGAAAAAAGAAAGCAACAUCAUUAAUUUCUAACCACUGUUUAGAAGAAUCCUCACCGAUGACUACGAACAGUACUUUAUCUAGAUCGAGUAUAUAUCUUAAUAGUGAGCAGCUGGCAGCUGAGUGCAGAAGAGAAGAGGAAUUUAUCCAUUACGACCCAGUUCGACUUUAUAAAAAGAUGCAUAAAACAAGAAAUUACAUGGAUGCAGAUGACCAAGGUCAACCAGACUGUUCAAAGUUUGGGACAUGCUGAUUGUCAUUCUGAGACUGACAAUCUGCAUUCAACCGUAACGACCCAAAAGUCAUGUUUUAGUGAUUAACUACAGAAGAUGUACUCUGCCUACGAAGAGGCCAUUGGAGGCGUCAAAACAAAUUUUGAUGCAUAGUUAAUAAUUUCAAAAGCUACUUUAAACCAGUGACGUGUGAUAAAUACUCAAUAGGUACAAUACAUUAAAUUUAUAGUUUAAAAGUCAAGUUCUAUAUCAGAGGUAAAAAAAACAAAAAACCUCCUUGCUCAUGAGACUGAUCAAAAGUUUCAUAGAUAUACCUGACUACCUCUAUAUAAAUUGUAAUAUCUAUUAAACCAGAAUAUAGAUUAGCAUAUAAAAGAACCUGUUAAUAGCAGUGCUUUCCUUUCAAAGUGACAGAUGACAAUACUGUUAAGAAAAUAAUAAAUAAUGAAAACCAGCAUGUGUGUUUGUGUGUGUAUUAUGCAAAUCUAAAACACAACACAUGUUAAAAUAAGUAUUUAUUUAUGCUUGACAAAGGGAAAGAAUAGAAUUCCAUUCCUCUAUAUUCAGUGAUAUAGUGAAAAGGCCUCACUGUCCUUUAUAAAUUAGACCAAAAUAGUUUUUUUCUACAAUUACAAAACAGAGUCAUGCUACCAGUUAGUGCUGGAUUUAGGUCUUCUUGGACCUGGAGCUGAUGGACCUAAUGAGAAGUUAAAUAUAAAUUUCAGAUAUCAUUGUAGCAAUUACCAUGUAGAACAUAUACCAAAUCUAAUGCUGAUCCACGUGGACUCUGAAUUCUUCUUCAUGUGCAAUUGCAAUGCAACAUAUCUAGCUUUAAGGUUGCAUAUACAACAGGAAAUAGUCUCAGAACUAUCAGUGACUGGGAAACAUUUCCAAAACAUAAAGUGGCAAGUGGAAUAAACUGAAAAAAAUGUAACAUUUACAUUGUGGCUGUUUUAUUUUAAAGCAAGAAUCUGGAGCUUCUGCUCCAAUAGCCCCUGUAUUAUUUUGGCCCUGAUGCCACUGAAAACAGUCAGCUAAGGAAUCCUAGGCCACAAAACUUAUACAGUCCUAGGAUGGAAGAGGCACCUUUGGGGAUCACACUUCCUUUUUAUUCUAGGAGCAGCACUCAAGAUGGCUUUUAGACCAGACAGUUUUCACCUUCAGUGCAGGACAUUCCAGUUCCCAGCCGCUAGUACAUGAAAAGGGACUUUUUGAGUUGCCUGCUCUUAUUAAUGACUGUAAUAAAUAUGUGGAAUAAACAUGACUCUUGAU
rnacentral:lncRNA from 1 species